UCUGAGACCUUUACAAAGGAGUCCGUGAGAUGAUGUGUCAAGAAUUGCCUUCUUAGUGGGUCGGAGAUACAUCAGCCCCUUUUAUCAAUAAUACUGCAUGGAUAGACAGUUGCAAUAGCUUCCAACCCACAGCUCAGUCCACUGGAAUGGAAGGUCUGGAAUAGAUUUGUGGUAUUCUCUGUUCUUUCAUUGCUGAUAUCCAUGCAAAAACAAAAGGACCUCUUGCAUGUUUACCUAGUGGUGACAUACUUGAAGAUAGUCAGACAGUAAGCCAACCCAUGUCUUCCCAUGGAGCUCCAUGAUGGGCGAGGCUGCUGAUUGUGGGUUGCUCUCCUCGCUGGGUCCUGGGGAGAAGCCAGGACGAAACUUGAAAAUAUAUUUGAGUUUUUAAGUCAUGUCUUCCUGACAUGCAGGAUAAACCACUUCAGAAGUGACCCUGUUCCAGGCAUUCUAAUGUCCUUUCCGUGCCCCAUGCAGCAUUUCUCUCUGUAGCCUUAUAUGGUUUGUUUGUAUGACUUUAAAAAUAAGAGUGUAUGUGCUCACGAGAUGGCUUUCAGAGGGUCUUAUUAGCAUCUUGGCCAUGUGGUGCUACAUUUCAUUUCAGUUAGAAGAGCAAAACUGAAGUGAGUUGGAGAAAGACCAUAAAGUGUGUGUGUGUGCAUGUGUGUGUGUGUGUGUGU